rnacentral:rRNA from 1 species
UACGUAGGGGGCAAGCGUUGUCCGGAAUCAUUGGGCGUAAAGAGCGUGUAGGCGGCUCGGUAAGUCCGCUGUAAAAGUCCAGGGCUCAACCCUGGAAAGCCGGUGGAAACUGUCGAGCUAGAGUCCGGAAGAGGCGAGUGGAAUUCCUGGUGUAGCGGUGAAAUGCGCAGAUAUCAGGAGGAACACCAAUGGCGAAGGCAGCUCGCUGGAACGGUACUGACGCUGAGACGCGAAAGCGUGGGGAGCAAACGGG